AGGUACUACAUGAAGAAAGGUGCAAUAAUCGGUGGAGAAUCUCUGACGCGGCUAACGUGUUAAAUGAUCCGCCUGAGUAGUAUGCUCGCAAGAGUGAAACUUAAAGGAAUUGACGGGGACCCGCACAAGCGGUGGAGCAUGUGGUUUAAUUUGAAGAUACACGGAAAACCUUACCCACUCUUGACAUCCUUCGCAAAGCUAUAGAGAUAUAGUGGAGGUUAACAGAGUGACAGAUGGUGCA
rnacentral:rRNA from 1 species